CGCCUUGUUUAACAAAAACAUGUCCUAUAGAUUUAAUAAUUUUAGGUCUAGUCUGCCCAAUGAUUUAUUUAAUGGCUGCAGUAUUUUAACUGACGAAGGUAGCAUAAUCAUUUGUCUUUUAAUUGGAGGCUUGUAUGAAUGGCUGGACGAGGAACUUACUUUUUUUAUUUAAAUUUUAUGAAUUUAAUUUUUUAGUCAAAAAGCUAAAAUUUUUUUGCAAGACGAGAAGACCCUAUAGAAUUUUAUUUAUUUAUAUUAAUUAAGUAUUAAGUUAUUUAAUUAUUUUAUUUAUGUAAAUAAAUUUUGUUGGGGUGACAGUGAAAUUUAAAUAACUUUCAUAUAUAUAAUUCAUUGAUUUAUGUAAAAUUGAUCCCUUUUUAUUAGGAUUAUUAGAUUAAAUUACCUUAGGGAUAACAGCGUAAUUUUUUUGGAGAGUUCUUAUCGAUGAAAAAGUUUGCGACCUCGAUGUUGG
rnacentral:rRNA from 1 species